GGGGAUUUAGCUCAGUGGUAUAAGCACCUGCCUUGCAAGCAGGCAGUCAUCGUGAGUUCGAUCCCUG
rnacentral:tRNA from 1 species